rnacentral:rRNA from 1 species
GGGUCAGUAGGUUGGUCGUGCCACCGGUACGUACUGGUCUCACUGAUUCCUCCUUCCUGAAGAACCGUAAUGCCAUUAAUUUGGUGUUGCGGGGAAACAGGACUGUUACUUUGAAAAAAUUAGGGUGUUUAAAGCAAGCUAACGCUCGAAUACAUUAGCAUGGAAUAAUGAAAUAGGACGAUCGAUCCUAUUUUGUUGGUUUCUAGGAUUGACGUA